rnacentral:rRNA from 1 species
AAGACUCUCGGCAACGGAUAUCUCGGCUCUUGCAUCGAUGAAGAACGUAGCGAAAUGCGAUACUUGGUGUGAAUUGCAGAAUCCCGUGAACCAUCGAGUCUUUGAACGCAAGUUGCGCCCGAAGCCAUUAGGCCGAGGGCACGCCUGCCUGGGUGUY